rnacentral:lncRNA from 1 species
UUACAGUGUUCUGUGAAUUUUCUAGUGUACAGCAAAGUGACCCAGUCACAUAUAUAUGUGUGUGUGUGUGUAUACACACACACAUUCCUUUUGUUAGGAAUUGUGAGGAAAGCUUGGGUUGACCCUGUCUUCUGUUUCUUUCUUGGAUUCCCUUGCUCUUAUUCUCUUUGGGAAGGAAUUUCUGAUAGGAGGAACUCCCUUGGGUGGGACCAGGAAGAUUUCCCAUGAGUCACCCAAUGAGACAGUGUUUUUUGAGUCUUUCACACUGAGGGUGGGGCUGUCUAGACUGGUCUAAGCCUAAGGCUACCUCCUGCAGUAAGUCAGGUAUUACAAAUGGGUCUUCUGGGAGCUGUGGCCUUACAGAAGCCAGACAGGGAGCUAAGGGUGCUAUCCUACUUGUCUGCCACCUCCCCUUUUUUCUUUUCUUUUUAGGGUGGCACCUGCAGCAUAUGGAAGUUCCCAGGCUAGGGGUCUAAUUAGAGCUGCAGCUGCUGGCCUACACCACAGCUUGCAGCCAAACUGGAUCCUCAGCCUACCCUGCAAGGCCAGGAUGAAACCUGCAGUGCAGCAUCAUGGAAAAUAUGCUGGGUUCUCAACCUGCUGAGCCACAACGGGAACUCCUAUCCGCUUCCUUUUUGAAAGAGGCCCCUGGAGUCAUGUCUGUGGCCCCCAAAUUCAAGGCAUUUAGUCCUCUUUUAUUCUAGGCUGUGUGUGUGCCAGGUCUUGUUCACUUGGUUGUUUGGUGUAUCUGGGGACUGGAGGAAGGACAGGAAUAAUGGUGGUGGGAUGAAGGGCUGGGCCGGAAGGAGUCACUGGCAGGAGUUACGGAAACAAUGAAGGAGUCCAGAAGAAUAACUGCUGAAAAUUCUCACAUAUUUUCCACUUGUGGAGCCUGUGAAUGAGAAAUGGUCCACUAGGCAACUUUGAGGUUGUUGACAUACUGGUUGCACACUGGUUUAGGGUACUUGAGGAAUAAAGUCUGGACAAGUGGAACAUGCAAGAGCAGAUCCUGGCUAAUUAGUUGCUUUUCCAGAAGCUCUAAUGAUGGAUGUCAUGCCAAAGAAAACAACCCUGGCCCUUGUAUAGGACUGAGCCUGGCUAGGAGUGCCAGGACUUGUUUUAAAAAACGCAAAUCUUGGCUUCCAAUUUAGACUAGGGUAGAAUCUGCCAGUCCAAUCCUUUGUGUUUUUCAUCUAUCUCAGGAAGCAAGAAAAGAAAAAGGAAUGGGAAGAUGAAGGAGGAAAAAGCAAAGUCUCACAUUUCCUCCUUAUUUGCGUGUCUAAAAAUCUGGACCUCUCUGGAAGCUAUCCUGAGCCCAUGCCAAGAACCUCCCACACCUAAAAAAUACUUUUCGUUAUUUAUAAAUCAUCUUAUUAUAUUUCUGAUGUCAUGUGUAUAAAAACAUACAUUUAAAUCACAUAAAUCCUUUGUAUCCUCUGUGAUCCUGGCCUGCUGGGAAUUUGGAAACAUAAAAGAUGACACAUACACCUAUUAGCAACCUGGGAAAGUGAGUGACUAAAUCCAACGUCAGGUUCAAUAAAAGAGAACACAUAGAAGUCUAGUUAGUUCCAAAGCAACUUUGCGGAAUUCAAUAAAAAGGCUGGAUGAGUCUUGGAAACGGGAGCAGAAGACAAGAGUGAAUGUCAGAAUGCCAGAGUAUGACUGGAGGAAGGCAAAGGAAGAAUCAAUUAAAAAUAUUCUCAUGAUUGAUAAGUUGAUACAUAUUGCAAUAAAAGCACACGGGAUCAACUUAAAAAGAAACACAGAUGGAGACGUCAAGUAGAUGAGAACUCCAAAGGUCCAGCAACAAAAAGAGCCAAUUUUCAUUUCAAUAUAAGGCCAUAGCUGAAGAAGUGCUCCACCGUUGGGGUGCUGUCCCCAGGAAAGGGAUGGAAGAUGCCUGAAGACUCCAUUGCCCUGCCUCUCUGCAGCCUAGGGUGGACAUGACUAUAAGAGCCUGGGCUUCUCCCUACUGAGCACAGAUUCGGACACAGAGCUCUCCACAGCCAGCAGUUAUUGCCAACUGCCUAGAGUUGCUCCUGUACAAUCCAUGCUGGUCUGUGAUGGGCCUGGGCAGGCAAGUUCCUUCUUUUCCCAGCUCUGCCUCUCAUUGCUUUGCCACUGGAAGCCUCUGCCAUACAGUAUCCCCAAACACAACUGCAUUAAUUAGUAUUUGCUAUUAUAACUCCAGAAUAGACCCAGAGGUAAUUACAUGAAAUGUGUGUUUUAUUUUCAUCUCCCUUUCACCAUUUUAUAUACACAAAUGCAUUUCCAAUUUCAACCAAGGGCAGGGGGAAUCAAUGAAUGUGAAACUAUUAAAAAAAAAAAAAAAAAAACUAUGCAGGAGUUCCUGUCGUGGAGCAGCAGAAACAAAUCUGACUAGGAACCAUGUGGUUGUAGGAUCGAUCCCUGGCCUUGCUCAGUGGGUUGAGGAUCCAGUGUUGCCGUGAGCUGUGGUGGAGGUCGCAGACUUGGCUCAGAUCCCGCAUUGCUGUGGCUGUGGUGUAGGCCGGCAGCCACAGCUCCAAUUAGACCCCUGGCCUGGGAACUUCCACAUGCCAUGGGUACAGACCUAAAAAGACAAAAAAAUAAAAAUAAUAAAUAAAAUAAAUGAAAAAAGAAAAAAAAACUAUACAGUUAUAAAAAUGAAUAGUACAUGUAUAAGAUUACAUAAAUGUAUCCCCAAACAUGGGGCAUUUUCAAAAGGUAUAUGUUAUUUCAUAAAUAUUUAAAAGUUAAUGAUUUUUUAAAUGAAACUAUUAUAUAUUUUUAAUAUAUAAAUAAAUAUAAUUUAACAUUGAACCUGUGAAUUUAUGGGUAUCGUUGCUCAUGUCAAAGAUAAGUAAAAGUGAAGAAUUAAAUUAGCUUUGAGAAAAAGACUAAGUAAUAGUGCAGGCAGUAAAAAUCUUGAAGGUGCCUGAGAAACACUUAACAUAAUUGUGGAUGCACGUGAUGAAUAUCAUCUAACUUCACUGCUGAUUUAUGACACUUACGACCUGCCAACUGCCGAACAACAUGGCGCUAACAUUCCCAACUGCCCCCAAAUUAAAUGGGAAGUUACCCUUGUUGUCUAACAACUGAAUUGCACUAGAAUUUAAUGAUUUAAGAACUCACUCAUGAAACUUAGCUAAGACUAGAAGUAAAAACACCCAGCCUUUAUCUGACCUACAAAUGCACAAUAGUUGUGAUUAUGUCCUCAGUCACAACUAUGUUAGUGUCACCCCCAAUUAACUUUCCCAGAUAGUUUUCAAUUUAGCACUAACCAUCCCAGCUACUAAAAUACAACAGCACAAGGUGGCGUGGUAAUAGGACUGCUUCCAAGAGUAUUCAUUUGCUCUGACAACUCACAACAACAACAAAAUCCUGGGGCGGGAAUUCCAUUCUAUUUUAUCUUUGCCAUUUGUAAUACGGUCGCUCCUUAGAGGUCUAAUUUAUCUGACAUGCUUGGAGAAGCCAUUUUUAUUAUUCCAUAUCUGAAUUAUAUUCUUUUUUUUUUUCUUCUUGUUUUAGAAUAGUACCAGGUUCCCCUUUGUCAGAAGCAUUUGUCAUUGAGUGGUGAGAUAACAUUGCAAGAAAUGUCAUAAGCAGUGUUUGGUCACCGUCUGCCAUGUUUAAUAAACGUCAAGGUAACCAAGAGUUUAUAAGACAAAUAAGCAGAGUGUUUUGCCCCUUCCUGCUUAAGCUAUGCACUAAUUGGUACAAGUAAAAGCUGGCCCAGAUUUUUAAUUUCAGUACUAGAUAAAAAGGAAAGUUUAAAAUCAAGGAAAACUUCAUAGGAAUUACCAAAACCCAGCUGAAGGUUGUAUUUAAUUUAAACCACAGAUUUUUUUUUUCUUUUUAGAAAAACAGAUGGAGAGAAAAAUUCUAGUAUCAGCCAUAUCAUGACAUUUCCAGAUAAAUCUUUAAAACAAAAUAAACCAUUUCCCUAAGAGGGCCGUCUUUCAUCUAUCCCAGACUACUUCCUGCUCUUCCUUCUCUUUCCUUCAGCUCUGAGAGUCAAGUCUGGGGAACCAUCUGAGCCCCAAGUUCAGGCAUUGAUAAACAUUUAAGAGAGUAUGAUGCAUUGCAAUGGGCAAUUCUCAAAGUCAGAAACUCUACAAUACAAAAAUUAAUAAACUCUAAAUGAAAAUUCAGAGCAGUUGUGGGAGAAGAGAGAACAUAAGAAGACACAAGAUGGGGUUCACAGGCUUCAGAAACAGCUUCCUGGGCCACACAGGCUUCACCUUGAAUAUACGUACCAUAAAUACACAUCUACUAGCAUCCACAUCAUAAUACAUGAUAAAACUAAGCUCUGUGGGGGGGGGGAGGUAGGGUGAGGGGCACUAGGUAUGCAGACCCUGGUGAGGUGAAAAGGGCCAGAGCUGAUGGUAAUUACCACUACUAUAUACAGUUUCACCUCCAUUUUACAGGUUAGGAAACUGAGGCACAGGGAGGUUUUAUAAUGUUUAAGUUCACCCAGCUAACUACAAAUCCCAGCUUCUUUCCAUUUUUACCAUCUUAGUUUCCCCAAAGAUCUAUAGGUAGAUCCAAUAAAUGUGGUUUUCAAUGCACCUCUAUCUUCGAGUUCUAUUUCAGGUCUAAAGAUGGCCAGGUUUAGCAUUUAAGCUAAAACCAAAACCAAAACAAACAAGGAAAAGUUAUCACUUUGAAAGUGUAGACCAAAGAGAUUAUGAAGAAUGGUUUAUAAGCUGAUCCAGGUACUAAUUUGAAAAGCUUGUUUUUAUGCAUCAGUAGCAUCAUUAAGCUUGUUUGAACACCAUUCUGUACUUAGUUUGUGAUAUGGAACAAUAUAGAAAAAGAAAUCCAAAAACCCAAUUCCUGCAGUAGAACCCUGAGAACUUAAGCAUCUUUACAUCUUUCCGUGUAGGAGUUAGACACCAAAUGGGUUAACCAUCAAAUCAAAGAAGUGUGGGUAUUAUGUAUUCUAAAUGGACACUCACUCUUCUCAUAAAUACUGACACUAAGGGCUGCUUCUACCAAUUCUCUGUUCCAGUGCUGGAUUCAUGGGAGGUAAUUAAUUCUGUUUAUGGAUUGGCUGACAAGAGAGUUCAGUGAACUAACAUCAAAUACUUUUCUAGUACCCUAAUUUGCAAUUUGGAAAACCAGAAGUAACAAUUGUUCCCUCAGGAAUCAAAGGAGGACGCUGGCCUUCAGAACUCCCUUGGUUCUAGUCUUUAAAGCUAUUUUCUUGAGGGAAUUCUGUAUGACAGGCACUACAACUGCAUAUCUGAUGGGUCACAGCACUUUCUCUUUCUCCUUUAUAACUUUAUUAAGGAAUGAAUACAGCUUACACUUUAGGGGCAUAACUUCAUGGGAGAUAAAGACCCUUCACACUUUAUGGAAAGGUCAAAGCUGUCCUAAAAAUGACCAAUGAACCCAAGAAAUUCUUGACUCAGAGGUCCAAUUUAUCUGUUUUCAUCUCAUUUAAAAAUAAAAUGGCUAAGCCCUAUUUUUCUGGUCUAUUAUUUAUUAGAUUUCAAUAAAGAACCUUGCUUUUCAUUAAAAUUUUGUCACAGACCACCCCAUACGGGGCUUCGCCUUGCAAAAGGCAUUUUCAAUUUCUCCCUCCUUUCUUGAAAAAAGAAGUGAUUUUUGGCUCUUUUCUUUCUUGCUGACAGUCUUUCCUAGUCUUUAAAGAAACCAACCAACAAAACUAUUUCCUUUUUCCUCUUUCUUAAAGAGAUAUUCAAUGAGUAUACUUACUUAUUUUUUUAGCAGAAAUCCACAUUUCCUUGAAAAGGAGGAUUUUAGAUACUGAAUUUCACAAUUCCCUGUUUGUGAAGACUUACAUUUAAAAAAAUCACUUUUAGGUGAACAACUACAGUAUAAAAACUAAUAUAUACAUACAUGAUAUAAAAAAUAUAUUUUCACUGAUGAUACAUGGUACAGAAAGACCUAGCAAAAGUGAUAAAACUCAGCUAACAAAGACUGUACAAGUAUGCAAGAAAACUCUGUAAUCAGUGUUUUGAGUUGCUAAUGAGACAUGUGGGUUGCUUUUGAAGAAAGAUGGUACUGGGAUUAACUACUUAAAUAUUAAUAAGUUGUUUUCUGCAUAUGGUCAAUUUAGGAAGAGAGCAAGUUCAGAAAACAUAACCACAAUCCAAAAUCUCAACUUCGAAUAAACUGGAAAUAUUAUAAUAUUCAAGACCUGUUCCUAAGCAUAGAUCUUAGCACUUCAAAUACGCCAGAGCACAAUUUUAGUAAGAGACACGAAUUGCAUU